UACCUCUUGUUUUAUUUUUGCUUAAGUUAAUUAUCAUGUACUUUAUAUUUUUGUUAUUAUGAAUGUUACAUUGUAUUUAUUAUAUUUUUCACUCAAUUACUGCUACUUGAGAUGAAUGUGACUGAUAUUUGUAUGUUUGAUAUUUUUCUAAUAUUUUUUCUAGUGUUUAAACUUUUUUUGUAGGUAGGUGAUUAUAUCAUUCCCAAAUAAUGUCUAUAUUUUCACUUGUCUUCCAAUUCUUAAAUCCCUUGUCUCUCUUUUUUUUUUUUUAAUUGCACUGACCCUGACCUCUAGAGCUAACCUGACAGGAAAACUUCUACUGGAGUUUCUCCAGUAAAUAUAAAUUGAUUGUAGAAUUUUGGCACAUAAUGCUUAACAUUUUGAAAAAGUUAUUUGUUAUUUUUAGCUUGCUAGGUGUUGUUAUAAAUAAUUGCUGAACCAUAUUAAAUGUCUUCUUUCCUGCACUAAGGAGAUAAUUAUCUGAUUUUUCUCUUUUAAAUGAUUUGUAUAAUAAAUUCCAUUGAUACAUUUUCUGAUGUUAAACCAACCAUACAUUCCUUGGAUUAAUACUACCUAUUCAUGAUUCAUAACUUUUUAAAAUUAUGUGUUCAUUUACUAGUAUUUUAUUUAGCAUUUUUACAUCAAAGGUCUUGAUCCAAAUUACCUUGUAUCUCCUUUCUUUGUAAUUUCCCCAUAUAGUUUUGUAUCAAUAUAAAUGAGAUUUAAAAAUUGACCUGACAUUUUUUAUUCUUUUUUAUGUAUUAGAACAACCUUAUCCAAUCAGGAAUAAACUAUCAUAUGACCUACUGUUUAACAUUUUGUAGAAUUGAUCUAUAAUAACAUAUAGAACUUUGUGAUUUUAAGAGAGCACAUCUUUGACUACUGAUUUCAUUUGCUUAUUAGCAUUUUAUAUGGUAUUGACACCUUUAUAUUUUUUUUCUUGGACCAAUUUUGGCAUUUCAUGUAUUUCUAACUAUCAGGUCAUAAUUUUAAGAUGCUUUACUCCAUAUUAACUCUUGUCUUUGCUACUCAUUAAAUAACUCUUCCUUUCCUAAUUUGUAAAUAAGAUGUUAUCGCUAGACCAGUAUGCCUCACAGAAUUAUUGUGUAGAUCAAGACUUCAAGAAUGUGAGUAUUAUUGUAAAUAAUUAAAUGUAGCCAAAGACACAUUAUCAUUUCACUUUAGAUCAGAACUUUUGUUAGCUAAGUGAUUAAUAAGUCAUCAUUUUAACAGUGCUAGCUAUGAGGCAUAAUAAAUGCUACUAGAAAUUCUGAGUUUCAGUUUAAUCAUCUAUAAUGUUAAAGGUUUUAACUAAGUUAUUGUUAAGUUUUCUUCAAAUUCUUUUUAACAAGGGCUUGAUUCUUCCUAACAGUUGAAUUUUUCAGUAAUGAAUUUGGAGCAUUCAUGAGUUACUCAAGUGAAGAUUUACAGUUUCAAAUAUGUUUAUUCAACAACUUGUAAUAAAUGAUGAUCAAUGGAAAUCUGAAGAAAAGUUUCUAAUGGCUUUAUUACUGAAAUGUAUAAUUUCUACAAAGUUAUCAGAUUCUUUGGAGCCCCCAAACAAAAAAAUUAAUUGGAAGACAAAAUAAAGGGAGAAGACAACACCACCGCAUCAAGCCGUAGUAAAGGACAAGAGUAAUGGGGUUAGGAUGAGGAACUAGAGACGUUGAUCUGGCUUCAAAAGAUUUCGACGCCACAUCUUAUUAGCAAGAAUUGAAAUGUGAACCUAUGUCUACAAUAGAGUGGAAUUCUUCCUUAGGAAGAGCCCUAUUUCUGAAAUUGUUCGGAUUUUUUUUAAAGAAGAGGGUGAUUGCUCUGAUCUCUCCCAUCCCAUAAACUGAGGCAGACAGAAUUUUAACCAGAGCAAAUUCAAGUACAGCUUUCCGACCAGCCAAACCCAGGAGACAGGCAGGAGGUCUGCCCUCCCCAGCCGUUCUUCUGUCUGCAUUAGCCAUCCUUGCUCAGGCUCCAUCGACCUGUCAGAGCCGUCACAGUGAUUGACUGCCCCGGCAGAUGUGCUGCUAUAACAGAGGAUUUCAUUCUACAAGUCAACACCCCAAUGUGGAGCUGUUCAGUAUCUAUCAACAGCUUCUAUUAAGAGAGAAUAUAAUCCUGGUGAGAUCAGAGGCUAACGCUUUUCUAUUUCUCAGUAAAGUCUAUUGCCUACUCACUAUCAAGGGAUGAACACUGGCUGAGAAUGACAUGGCUCAACAUCUAAGGGGAAGUAACACCGUGAAGCAAAGAAAACAAGGUAAAAUCAAUGACAACUGACAAGAAAGCAAGUGAACUCAUUUUUUUUUCCAAAUGAGACGCAUAAAAAUAUGCUAAGUAUGUAGUGAUACUUGUACAACCUGAAGAUGCAAAUAAAUGAAC